rnacentral:tRNA from 1 species
AAGGGCGUAGCUCAGUUGGUUAGAGCGUCGGUCUCCAAAACCGAAGGCCGCGGGUUCGAAUCCCUCCGCCCCUGCCA